rnacentral:rRNA from 1 species
GAUGAACGCUGGCGGCGUGCCUAAUACAUGCAAGUCGAGCGAACAGACGAGGAGCUUGCUCCUCUGACGUUAGCGGCGGACGGGUGAGUAACACGUGGAUAACCUACCUAUAAGACUGGGAUAACUUCGGGAAACCGGAGCUAAUACCGGAUAAUAUAUUGAACCGCAUGGUUCAAUAGUGAAAGACGGUUUUGCUGUCACUUAUAGAUGGAUCCGCGCCGCAUUAGCUAGUUGGUAAGGUAACGGCUUACCAAGGCAACGAUGCGUAGCCGACCUGAGAGGGUGUUCGGCAACACGGGAAUGGGGACACGGCCCAGACCCCUAGGGGAGGCAGCAGUAGGAAAUCUUCCGCAAUGGGCGAAAGCCUGACGGAGCAACGCGGCGGGAGUGAUGAAGGCCUUCGGAUCGUAAAACCUUGUUAUUAGGGAAGAACAAAUGUGUAAGUAACAAUGCCCGUCUGGAGGGAACCUAACCAGAAAGCCACGCUUAACUACGU